AGUAACUGCUCUCAAGGUGACGGUACCUGAGAAGAAAGCCCCGGCUAACUACGUGCCAGCAGCCGCGGUAAUACGUAGGGGGCAAGCGUUGUCCGGAAUUAUUGGGCGUAAAGCGCGCGCAGGCGGUCAUUUAAGUCUGGUGUUUAAUCCCGGGGCUCAACCCCGGAUCGCACUGGAAACUGGGUGACUUGAGUGCAGAAGAGGAGAGUGGAAUUCCACGUGUAGCGGUGAAAUGCGUAGAUAUGUGGAGGAACACCAGUGGCGAAGGCGACUCUCUGGGCUGUAACUGACGCUGAGGCGCGAAAGCGUGGGGAGCAAACAGGAUUAGAUACCCUG
rnacentral:rRNA from 2 species